CAGCAGCCACGGUAAUACGUGGGUGGCGAGCGUUGUCCGGAAUCAUUGGGCGUAAAGGGAGCGCAGGCGGGCAUGUAAGUCUUUCUUAAAAGUUCGGGGCUCAACCCCGUGAUGGGAAAGAAACUACAUGUCUUGAGUACAGGAGAGGAAAGCGGAAUUCCCAGUGUAGCGGUGAAAUGCGUAGAUAUUGGGAGGAACACCAGUGGCGAAGGCGGCUUUCUGGACUGCAACUGACGCUGAGGCUCGAAAGCUAGAGGAGCGAACGGGAUUAGAUACCCCCGUAGUCCCUGUCUCUUAUACA
rnacentral:rRNA from 1 species